GACGAACGCUGGCGGCAGGCCUAACACAUGCAAGUCGAACGCCGUAGCAAUACGGAGUGGCAGACGGGUGAGUAACACGUGGGAACGUACCUUUCGGUUCGGAAUAACUCAGGGAAACUUGAGCUAAUACCGGAUACGUGCGAGAGCAGAAAGAUUUAUCGCCGAAAGAUCGGCCCGCGUCCGAUUAGCUAGUUGGUGAGGUAAUGGCUCACCAAGGCGACGAUCGGUAGCUGGUCUGAGAGGAUGAUCAGCCACACUGGGACUGAGACACGGCCCAGACUCCUACGGGAGGCAGCAGUGGGGAAUAUUGGACAAUGGGGCGAAAGCCUGAUCCAGCCAUGCCGCGUGAGUGAUGAAGGCCUUAGGGUUGUAAAGCUCUUUCGCCAGGGACGAUAAUGACGGUACCUGGAUAAGAAGCCCCGGCUAACUUCGUG
rnacentral:rRNA from 1 species